GGCAGUCUGAAGUCAGCCUGGUGGGAGUAGUCAGCAAGUGCUAUAAAGCAGGGAUUUUCUUUUGCUGUUUUUGGAGGUCCAGAUUAUCAGCACAUCUUUGGUCCCCUUUCCCUCCCAUGGGCUGCAUCAAGGUUGGAAGGAAAGGAGGAAAGGAAGAUAACUUUGGUAAUGGAAAAGGGCCCAUCAGCCUGAAGGGAAAGAGAGAAACAAGAGACGGGUAAGCAAGAAAUGAAAGAUGGAGACCAGGCAGAGAUACACACGAGAGUUUAUUUGUCAGAGCUGACAAAUAAAGGCCAUCGCUCUAUUGGAGAGAGAGACAAAACAGGUUGAGUUCUGGGACUUUUAUGGGGAGACUCGGAAUCCGAGCCGGGAAGGUCCUAAUGUGGUUGGUUAAGGGUGGGGUUGGUAUGAGGGAGUGGUGAGCCUUUCUCAGAAAGGCUCUUGGGCAGGAAAGCAAAACUUUUUCCUUAAAAUGGCAGCUGUCACUUAAGAUGGCCAUCCAGAUGCUAAGAAAGGAUGUUAUACAGCCUUCAACCAUGGCUCCAUACAGAUCACCCCUAGAAAAUUCUUGUUCUUUUCUACAAGGCAUCUGCAAACACUUCUUUCUUUUCCCUCUGUGCAUGAACACUCUCCAAGAGUGUCCUUGCAGGUCUAAUGGGGACAGAGAACUCUGUUCUCCUUAUCUGCUACCUCUAGAUCCAGAGACUGUGUGUGUGUGUGUGUGUGUGUGUGUGUGUGUGUGUGUGAGAGAGAGAGAGAGAGAGAGAGAGAGAGAGACACUAAAUUCUUUCCCUCUUUGUUAUGGUUUAGAUAUAAGGUGUCCCCAGAAAGUUCAUGUGUAAGAGAAUGCAAGAAAGCUUAGAGGCGAAAUGAUUGGGUUAUAAGAGCCUUCACAUAAUCAGUGCAUUAAACCACUGGUAGAAAUUAACUGGGUGGUGACUAUAGGCAGGUAUGGUGUGGCUAGAGGAGGUGGGUCCCUGGGGGUGUGCCUUUAGGGUAUGCAUUUUGUCCCUGGUGAGCAGAGGCUCUGUUUCAAGCUCAUGCUGGAGAUCUCUCUCUCUCUCUCUCUCUCUCUCUCUCUCUCUCUCUCUCUCUCUCUCUCUCUCUCUCCCCCCACCCUCUCCCUCUCCCCCUCCCUCUCCCUCUCCCUUUCCCUGUCCCUCUCCCUUUCUGAUCACCAUCUUCUGGAUUGCUCUCCUCUGCCACAUGUUCUGCCUCACCUCAGACCUAGAUGGAGUUGGCCAUCUAUGGACUGAGACCUCUAAAACCAUGAGCACUUAAUAAACUUUUCCUCCUCUAAAAUUAUUCUUGUCAGGUUUUUUGGUCACCACAGCAAAAAAGCUGACUAAACCCCUCAAAUACUAUUAAUGUUUUCAUGCUUUGGAAACAAAAAUCCAGGAAGCUCUGUCUUAAACGUACCUUGAACACAGCAUCGCUCUGUUUGAAUGGGAGAAAGAGGGAAAGGCUAACACAGCAAAAAAUUCAGGCCACAAACACAUUCUAAGUUUCUAAGGCAGUUUUUGCUGUUAUUGCUGUUGGUGUUGUUUUGUGUUUUUUUUACACUUAUAGUGAGCUAACAGCUUUCUCACACUUCCCUAAAGAGGUUUAAAGGACAAAUAAUAUUAGUAAGUGUACAGUGCCCGACACAUAGUAGGUCUUUGAAAAAUGGUGGCUUCUUUCUCCUUCUUUGAGGCUUUGGCCACAAAGACUAGAUUCAGCAGGGACAAAAAGCUGCAGGUGGAUGACCAUCCUUGUUUCCCCUGCUCAGUGGCAGAGGUUGCAACCCACUGGACGGGUCACCUGACUCCUCCUUCUGGGCUUUGAGAAGCAGAUACUGAUUAAUAAGGAGCAAAAUCCCCACAUUUGUUAAUAAAAUCAAGUGUCCUCUUAGGUGAAGCAGAAGGUCCAGUGGAAUAUUUAACAAGCGAAUAAAACCAAAUACUCCUGGGAGUGUGGAAUCUUGGCAAGCUGUUGUCUCCUUGGACACCUUCCCCUCAGUCUCCCCCAAGCCUCCCUUCUUGCCUGUUAUCCAAACUCUGUGUUAUGCCUGGUCAGUUUCAUCCAUAACCACAACAGCCAUGUCCCUCCCCCACCGCCCAUCAGUGGAUCCCAAUUCCAUUCCUUUCCGCCCUGGACACCAGACUGUAUUUGCAGCUGUCUUUUGAAUGUACCAGCUGAACUUUCCAGACACCCCGCACUCGACUGUCCCAUCUUAAACUCCUCCUCUUCCCCCUUCUCCUGAUACUGGCAAUGGUCUGCGUUCUCUACCUAAUGAAUGCCACUUCCACCCCUAACCACCCUCACUCUUCACAGCCAGUCGAUGCCUGCUCUCUAGGCUCAGUGGACAGCCCUUGUGUCUCAUGGGGACAAUAAAAUUUUCCUACAAAGUUCUUUCUCUGCUCUCUUAUAUCAUCCUCCCACCCAGUCCAGCCUAAAACAAAUCUAAAUGUUUUAAAGGUCCCUAUUCAGUGGCUCCCUUACCCUUGCACGGAAGUUUGAACUUGGCAGAACACGCUUGGUUCUCCACAACCCAGAGAUAGUGCCCUGAACUCUGACCUCACCUAUCCUCUCUCCCUAUGCUGCCUAUUGCUGCUCCAGUCACACUGAACUCCUUGUGCUUUGUAGAUGCUCCUGCUAUGGCGCUGUGUGAUGGUUAAUACUGAUUGUCAGCUUGACUGGAUGGAGGGAUGCCUAGAGAAUUGGUAAAGAAAAUUGGGUGCGUCUAUGAAGGUGUUUCCAGAGAAAAUUGGUGGACAGGUCAGCAAACUGAAUGGGGAAGACCUUGCCCUGAGUGUGGGCAGCAUCAUGCAACAGGCUGCGCCAGGUGGAAUAAAGAGGGGAAGAAAGGGAAGCUCUGAGCACACACUCAGUCCUUCUGGAGUGUGUGCACAUUUUUGCCACUACGUCUGUCGCCCCUGGACAUCAGGCUCCUGAUCAUCAUCUUAUGAAUGCAGACUUGCACCAGUGGCUCUCCAGGGGGCUUUCAGGUCCUCAGCCUCAGGCUAGCUAGCUGCCUCAGACCUGUCUUGUUCUAAGGGCUCAGCUUUUGGGACUGAGCAGCUACCCUGGCCCUCCAACCUGCAGAUGGCCACUAUGGACUAUUCAGCCUAUGAUCACAUAAUCCAAU
rnacentral:lncRNA from 1 species